rnacentral:rRNA from 1 species
UAGUCCUAGCCGUAAACGGUGUGCACUAGGUGUAGGAGGCAUCGACCCUUCCUGUGCCGCAGCUAACGCAUUAAGUGCACCGCCUGGGGAGUACGACCGCAAGGUUGAAACUCAAAGGAAUUGACGGGGGCCCGCACAAGCGGUGGAGCAUGUGGUUUAAUUCGAUGCAACGCGAAGAACCUUACCCAGAUUUGACAUGCAUCCGACUGGUGUGGAAACACACCUUCUCUUCGGAGUGGAUGCACAGGUGCUGCAUGGCUGUCGUCAGCUCGUGUCGUGAGAUGUUGGGUUAAGUCCCGCAACGAGCGCAACCCUUGUCCUUAGUUGCUAGCGAGUAAUGUCGAGCACUCUAGGGAGACUGCCGUCGAUAAGGCGGAGGAAGGUGGGGAUGACGUCAAGUCCUCAUGGUCCUUACAUCUGGGGCUACACACGUGCUACAAUGGGCAUUACAAACGGUUGCAAUACCGCGAGGUGGAGCCAAUCUGAAAAAAUGU